rnacentral:lncRNA from 1 species
UUGAUUUUGGCGGCCUUUAGGUCAUUUAUCAGUUUACAGUUGGACAGUUUUAAAUGACAAAAUUAUCCUUGAAACGAUGCUGUGGCGCGAAACAUUGCUUGCCUCCGGUAACCGAAGCCAUGAACUUUAUUUCAGAUAGAACAAAGGAAAUUUUCGAAUAGUCUUGGGUGGUUAACGCCGGUGGCGGUAAUUACUUUCUUGAGUUUCAUCAAACAGCUCACUAGCCGUUUGAUGAAAUGCCGC